GCUUCCUUCUCCAAGCUGCGACCCACAGAAGGGAGAGAGGGAGGCCGGCUCUGAGCAGAAGCAGGGGUCUCUGGGACAAGACUUGGCUUCAGCGUCCAACUAGCACACCACAGUCAGGAGAGCCUGGGUCAACCUGGCUCGCAGAAAUGGCUGUGGAAAGAGAACAAGAAGUCAACAAGAAGCUAAGACCUCCUGUGAUUUGCACCAUGCACAGGAUGAUGAGAAGAGCCAAAUGCCAGCCCUUCUGGCUCACAAGCAGGGAGACAAGAAAAGCCAAAACUCCCCCACGCUCCCCACCCCACCAUAAGUGAUUGACUCAUCCAGAGAAACAUAAGCUGUAAUGAAAGCUAAUGAGAUAAAAUACAACUUAAUGCUUGUAGUGUUCAGGAUUUCACUGACUGCAGGCUGAAAGGCAGUAGUCUGAUCAUCUAUUCAAAGCAUAGCAAUACACAGUGUAGCAUAUAUGGGGAAUCUCCUUCUGAAGGUGGUGGCCAUUGUUCCCUAUUACCUUGCUUCAAAAUUCUGUAUCAUUCUCAUUGUUUUGUUUGGUUGGGUUUUAUUGUUUUGUUUUGUUUGAUUUUAUUAUAUCAGAUGGCAUGGGUGGCUAUUUCAAAGAUAACAAGAUAUAUCAUGGUAGCCAUUUUGGAUUUACUAUUAUCUUGUUUUAAAGUCUUGUAUUCAUUGUUUUGUUUUAAUUGGUUCUAUUCUGUUUUGCUUGAUUUUAUUAUGUUGGAAGGUAUGGGCAGUUUGUUUUUGGUACCUGGGAUUGAACUCACAAACUUGCACUUGCCAGGCAGGUGCUUACACCAACCACUAAGCUAAAUCUCUGGCCCCAUGGGGAACUAUUCUGAAGACAAGAGGCAUUAUGGUAACCACUGUUGAUUUCCUAUUAUCUUGUUCUGAAAUUCUGUGUCACAUGGUCUUGUUUUUGUUGUUGUUGUUGUUGUUGUUUUCUUUUUCUUUUUUAUCGGUACCAGGGAUUGAACUCAUAGCCACACACUUGCAAGGCAGGUGCAUAUGCCGCUGAGCUAAAUCCUCAGCCCCACAUGGUCUUGUUUUGAUUAGCUUUAUUCUAUUUUAUUUUGCUUGGUUUUACUGCCCCCAAAAUAAAAUUUUUUAAAAAAGAAAAGAAA